rnacentral:rRNA from 1 species
UACGUAGGGUGCGAGCGUUAAUCGGAAUUACUGGGCGUAAAGCGUGCGCAGGCGGUUUUGUAAGCCAGAUGUGAAAGCCCCGGGUUCAACCUGGGAAUGGCAUUUGGGACUGCAAGGCUUGAGUGCGGCAGAGGAGACUGGAAUUCCUGGUGUAGCAGUGAAAUGCGUAGAUAUCAGGAGGAAUACCGAUGGCGAAGGCAGGUCUCUGGGCUGACACUGACGCUCAUGCACGAAAGCGUGGGGAGCAAACAGG